GAUGAACGCUGGCGGCGUGCCUAAUACAUGCAAGUCGAGCGAACAGACGAGGAGCUUGCUCCUCUGACGUUAGCGGCGGACUGGUGAGUAACACGUGGAUAACCUACCUAUAAGACUGGGAUAACUUCGGGAAACCGGAGCUAAUACCGGAUAAUAUAUUGAACCGCAUGGUUCAAUAGUGAAAGACGGUUUUGCUGUCACUUAUAGAUGGAUCCGCGCCGCCUUAGCUAGUUGGUAAGGUAACGGCUUACCAAGGCAACGAUGCGUAGCCGACCUGAGAGGGUGAUCGGCCACACUGGAACUGGGCCACGGUCCAGACUCCUACGGGAGGCAGCAGUAGGGAAUCUUCCGCAAUGGGCGAAAGCCUGACGGAGCAACGCCGCGUGAGUGAUGAAGGUCUUCGGAUCGUAAAACUCUGUUAUUAGGGAAGAACAAAUGUGUAAGUAACUAUGCACGUCUUGACGGUACCUAAUCAGAAAGCCACGGCUAACUACGUG
rnacentral:rRNA from 1 species